rnacentral:rRNA from 1 species
UACGGGGGGAGCAAGCGCUGUUCGGAUUUACUGGGCGUAAAGGGCGCGUAGGCGGCCACCGCAAGUCGACUGUGAAAUCUCCGGGCUUAACCCGGAAAGGUCAGCCGAUACUGCGGGGCUAGAGUGCAGAAGGGGCAACUGGAAUUCUCGGUGUAGCGGUGAAAUGCGUAGAUAUCGAGAGGAACACCUGCGGCGAAGGCGGGUUGCUGGGCUGACACUGACGCUGAGGCGCGAAAGCUAGGGGAGCGAACGGG